UACAGAGGGGGCAAGCGUUGUUCGGAAUUACUGGGCGUAAAGGGCGCGUAGGCGGCCUUCUAAGUCGAACGUGAAAUCCCCGGGCUCAGCCCGGGAACUGCGUCCGAUACUGGAAGGCUUGAAUUCGGGAGAGGGAUGCGGAAUUCCAGGUGUAGCGGUGAAAUGCGUAGAUAUCUGGAGGAACACCGGUGGCGAAGGCGGCAUCCUGGACCGGCAUUGACGCUGAGGCGCGAAAGCCAGGGGAGCAAACGGG
rnacentral:rRNA from 1 species